rnacentral:rRNA from 1 species
GAUGAACGCUAGCGGGAGGCUUAACACAUGCAAGUCGAGGGGCAGCAUAGGGUAGCAAUACUCUGAUGGCGACCGGCAAACGGGUGAGUAACGCGUAUGUAACCUACCCUGUACAGGGGGAUAACCCGGAGAAAUUCGGACUAAUAUCCCAUAACAAUAUCCGGGGGCAUCUUUGGAUAUUUAAAGUUCCGGCGGUACGGGAUGGGCAUGCGUAACAUUAGCUAGUUGGUAAGGUAACGGCUUACCAAGGCUUUGAUGUUUAGGGGUCCUGAGAGGGUGGUCCCCCACACUGGUACUGAGACACGGACCAGACUCCUACGGGAGGCAGCAGUGAGGAAUAUUGGUCAAUGGGCGCAAGCCUGAACCAGCCAUCCCGCGUGAAGGAAGAAUGCGCUACGCGUUGUAAACUUCUUUUCCAGGGGGAGAAUAAUCCUGUCGUGACAGGACUUGACGGUACUCUGGGAAUAAGCAUCGGCUAACUCCGUG